rnacentral:rRNA from 1 species
UACGUAGGGGGCAAGCGUUGUCCGGAAUCAUUGGGCGUAAAGCGCGUGUAGGCGGCCCGGUAAGUCCGCUGUGAAAGUCGGGGGCUCAACCCUCGGAUGCCGGUGGAUACUGUCGGGCUAGAGUGCGGGAGAGGCGAGUGGAAUUCCUGGUGUAGCGGUGAAAUGCGCAGAUAUCAGGAGGAACACCAAUUGCGAAGGCAGCUCGCUGGAACGUAACUGACGCUGAGAACGCGAAAGCGUGGGGAGCAAACAGG